UCCAGAUUUGAUCACGUUUACCAAGAAACGAUCCUAACGGUCCUUGCUUUCCUAUAUAAACCCACUUAAUUCUUGCUCUCAUUUCACCCAUGAUCUGAAUUGUUCUAAGUUGGGGCCUUAGUGCUUCAUACCUGAACAUCCAAGGUCAUUUCCAUCCUUGCUUGGACCCUUUCGUUUCGAUAAACGCUUUGACUAUUAAACGGCUAAGCCAUGGAGCCCAGUAAAAGCUAUCUGUACUUGCUUGGUGGUAUACGGCUGGGAUUAAAUUUAUAUUUAGCUCAGGUACUACGCGUAAUAGGCUGGUUUCUCCUAGCAUCAUAUAGAAGUCUCGCAAGCUUAGAUUCCUGAAGUCUGUUGAACAAUGUUUUAUUUUAUUUGCGAUCCGCCUGUGGAUCUUUUACUUUCCGUAUUGUAAUACUUGGAUAUUACUUCAUACCGGAUUGUAAUAUAUUUUUGCUUCCGCUGUGCAUUUAAAUUGUGUG
rnacentral:lncRNA from 1 species